ACGGGUGAGUAACACGUGGGUAACCUGCCUGUAAGACUGGGAUAACUCCGGGAAACCGGGGCUAAUACCGGAUGCUUGAUUGAACCGCAUGGUUCAAUUAUAAAAGGUGGCUUUUAGCUACCACUUACAGAUGGACCCGCGGCGCAUUAGCUAGUUGGUGAGGUAACGGCUCACCAAGGCAACGAUGCGUAGCCGACCUGAGAGGGUGAUCGGCCACACUGGGACUGAGACACGGCCCAGACUCCUACGGGAGGCAGCAGUAGGGAAUCUUCCGCAAUGGACGAAAGUCUGACGGAGCAACGCCGCGUGAGUGAUGAAGGUUUUCGGAUCGUAAAACUCUGUUGUUAGGGAAGAACAAGUACCGUUCGAAUAGGGCGGUACCUUGACGGUACCUAACCAGAAAGCCACGGCUAACUACGUGCCAGCAGCCGCGGUAAUACGUAGGUGGCAAGCGUUGUCCGGAAUUAUUGGGCGUAAAGCGCGCGCAGGCGGUUUCUUAAGUCUGAUGUGAAAGCCCCCGGCUCAACCGGGGAGGGUCAUUGGAAACUGGGGAACUUGAGUGCAGAAGAGGAGAGUGGAAUUCCACGUGUAGCGGUGAAAUGCGUAGAGAUGUGGAGGAACACCAGUGGCGAAGGCGACUCUCUGGUCUGUAACUGACGCUGAGGCGCGAAAGCGUGGGGAGCGAACAGGAUUAGAUACCCUGGUAGUCCAC
rnacentral:rRNA from 1 species